UACAGUGCACUCGCGAAAACUCGAACUAAUGAAAACCACACCUAUUCGAGUUAACGAAUUAUUCCAGUUUUCGAGUGUUAUAUUUUUCUUGCAUAAUUCAAAAUAUUAGUAUGUUUUGUAAUGUUUAGUGAUUCAUGAUUAAUUCAUUCGAAUAUUUUAUUUUUCUUUUCUUAAAUAAUACAAUGAACAUGUGUAUCUAAUUAUUAGAAAAAAAGCAGUGAUUUGUGUUUGCCGUUUCUUAUGUUCGACCGAAUUCAAUACGGCCUUUUCACGCAAUGAUUGCAAUACAAAUCAUUCUGCCUCAUAUUCAUCUUCAGAAUUGCUUUCUUCAAUUGGUUCCUCUUUAAUCAAGCCUUUAUUCCAGUUAUUUAUUUCUUCUUUUGUAAAAAGAACCUAAUAAAAAUGUGUUGUUGUUAAACAUGACUUUUUUAUUUUGAAGCACCACCAUACCUCAGGAUUUAAGCCUUCGAGAAUAUUCGCAGAUUCUUUUUCCAAUUUUUUAGCUUCUGCUUCCAUUUGGUUUUUCAAAACAUUAAGCGGAACAUCAUCGUCGUCGUCGUUAUCCAGGUUUGGCAAAGUUUAAAAUAUUUUUCCAGCACUUCACCAAAGUAUCUUGCCCCAACUUUUUCCAAGCUCUAUCCAAAAAUGUAACAUCUUCGCUCAAGUUAAUUUUUUUCAUUGAUUCCACCAAAUCGCAUUGAUCGGUGAAAAUGGCUGCCAACAGAGAAUUUCUAUAGAGAAUUUAUAAAAAGGCUUGACAUUCGGGGGCAAAAACAUCGCUGCCAUCUUCAGACUUUAAUUCAUCUUCGUUUGGAUGCGAAGAGCGUUGUCAAGAAGAAGCCUUUUGAGGCACCUUUUAAUAAAACAAUACGCAUCUAACAUGCGUUGGACAUGUUAACAUACAACAAUACGAAUAUGUAUGUAUAUUAUAUAUGAUAUGUUUUUGCGUAUAAAAUAAUGGACAUUUUUUGUUCGAGUUUUAGAGCCAUCAUAUUUUGUUCGAGUUUUAAAGUAGCCAAUGGAGAAGAAACAAUUUUCAAGUUUCCGAACGUUCGAGUUAUCGUGUGUUCGAGUUUUCGCGAGUGCAAUGUAUAUAACUUGCUUUUAAAACAAUUAAGUAGAUGCUUUUACAGCAAAUUAUUUAUCAAUAUGCAUAGAUGUACAAUGGAAUUUCUCGUAACUCGAAUCACCAUAAUUCACAAAAAAACUUCGAGCUAGAGAGACUUCCAGUUAUAAAAUUUUCAUUAAAACUUACAAAAUUUCAAAAAGCUUUAAAAUAUAGAUGUAUUCAAGGUUUUAUUUAUUUACUUCGCAUACAGUUUUAUGUACAUACAUUAAAACAUGUAUUCUGUAAUUUUGUUUGUUGCAGUUUGCUGUUGUUUGGUUCUUGACUUCUGUAUCCCAAGCCUUUGUUACAUGAUUUAUAAAAUCCAUAAGCGUAUGAUUUAUAUGAUUUAUAAAAUCCAACACAUUCAAAGAAAUGUUAAUAACACAUUCGCAAAACUCUUAUUUAUGCAAGCUUGCUGCAAUCUUAAUUUACAAAACGCUUGCUAAUAUGUUUGCUGGGGUAUUUCAUCCGUAAUAGUACCAAGAACAGUACUGAAAGUGCAUAUGUAGUUUUGGUGCGCAGUUUGGGGUCUUUCAUCUGUGAUUGUACCAAUAACAUUCCGGAAAUAGUGCAAGAGGUAUAUACAGUGCUAAAUGAUGAAUAUACCCUGCAAGACAGGUACCGGCGAAUUCUUCGGUGAAUGCCAGGGAGCGGUACUAGCAGUUUCAAUGAAAGUUUCUAUUCCAUUCUUAAGGGCGAAUUGACAAAAGUCAAUCCCGAAACUAUUGUGUACCUGUGAUCGUUCAUCCCUUUGUUGCACAUUUUAUUUACCUCUUGCACAAUUCUGUGAAUGCGUUUUGUAAAUUAAGAUUGCAGCAAGCUUGCAAAAAUAAGAGUUUUGCGAAUGUCGUUGACAAUUUGCUUGCAAAUGCAAGUGUUUUGCGAACGUCGUUGACAAUUUACUUGCAAAUGUAAGUGUUUCAUAAAUUUAAGCAAAACAUGUAGUUCUCGCCGCAAAAGUUUGUAUGUAAAAUUGUUCUUAAAGUUGUUAAAUUAAGUGCGUUUGAUACUUUUAAUUAUCAUUUGCAAUUAAAAAAGGUAAUAAUCUACUUAUUUAAUGUCUGCAGCAAAAAAGAAGAAAAGUGUUGUGCGCAGCAGCUUCGAAAUUUUUGAACAUCUAUGGAACGCUGCGGCUGCAAGUUCUGUAAGUACCCAGAGUGAAUUUGUGGAACAGGAGGUUGUGCCUGAAGUACAGAAUAAUUUAGAUUCCUUGUUGCCAAUGGCCGAUGGCGCCGUUAUUGAUUUCAACAAACGUUUAGCUGCAUGGUUUGUAGAGAGCAAUGUGUCCAAUGUGCAUGCUAAUAAAUUAUUGGACUUAUUAAGCGACAAAAUUGAAGGUCUACCAAAAGAUAUCAGAACGCUUAAACGUACGCCGACUGAUGCUCCAGUUGUCUCGUUAGCAGGUGGAGAAUAUGCGCAUUAUGGCUUGAGAGACUGUUUGACAGAUUUUUUGCGGGAAUAUAAAGUGCAUACAAAUAUUUUAGAAUUGAACUUUAACAUCGAUGGAUUGCCAAUUUCGAAAAGUUCGCUGAAGAGCGUGUGGCCUAUUUUAGUGAAUGUAAAUGGGACGGAUUCAGUUUUCGUGGUUGCUAUUUUUUGUGGACGGUCUCAUCCCAAUAAUGUGAAUAAGUUUCUGGCACAAUUUGUCGAUGAGUUGAACGAUCUUCUCCAAAAUGGAUCCUCAUACGAAAAUAAAACUUUUGUAAUAAAAUGUCGAGCAUUUAUUCUGGAUGCACCAGCUAGGUCACAUAUGCUUGGAGUCAAAGGACACGCAGGCUAUAGUUGCUGCACAAAGUGCAUUAAGAGGGGCGAACGGAAAGAGAAUUGUAUAAUAUUCCAUUAUCAAAAUCAUCCUUUGCGCACAAAUAUAAAUUUUCGGCAAAGAACUGAUGUCAGCCAUCACAAACAGCAAAGUUCUUUGGAGAUUGAAAAACUUCCAAUCGGCGUGAUCCAAGUAUUCGCUCUAGAUUACAUGCACGUGGUGUGUUUGGGUGUAAUGAAGGCUUUGCUUGGAUCCUGGAUAAAAGUUAAAAAUCGCAAUUAUUUUUUGCAACAAAAUGAUAUACGAAAACUAAGCACAGAAUUUCAAUUCAUUGCGCGUUACAUACCAAGAGACUUUUGUAGGAAACCACGGGAUUUAAAAGAGAAAGACCGCUUCAAAGCAACGGAAUUCCGUCAGUUCCUUUUGUAUACAGGCCAGGUUGUGCUAAAGGACAUAUUGAGCGAAGAGAGGUACAUUCAUUUUUUGCAACUUAGUCUUGCAAUGCGAAUUCUCCUCAAUGCUGAAGAUUGUAUACAAAAUAACAAAUGCGCAGAGGAGCUGAGAAAGGAUUUCUUACUCAGAGUCCCUGUUUUAUAUGAUGAUUUAUUGUUAACAUAUAAUUGCCACUGUUUGAGUCAUUUGGCCAGAGAUUCCAUGCACUUUGGAUCACUAGAGACAACCAGUGCUUUCAAGUUUGAAAAUAAAUUAGGAAAAAUUAAGAAACUACUUAAGAAAAAAAAUAAUGUUCUGUCCCAUAUUUACAACAGACUAGUUGAGCAGAGUGUACAUGGAAAUCAUCAUACAAAUAUUGUUCCUAAAAAAUCUACAGUACAAAGUGAUGGCACUUACAAAUUUGUUAAAACUAAAAACUUUUAUUUAUCGUCUAUUGCACCUGAGAACUUUUAUUUAGUACACAAAUUAAUUUUCAAACUUAUUUCCAUAUCAAGAUCUGCUGAUAACGAUUUUGUACUUCACGGGCUAAGGGUACUAGACUUACAUAACUUAUAUGAUAAGCCGCUUCAAUCAUCGCUUUUUAAUAUUUACCGUGCCGAAAAUCUCAGUUUUAACAAAACACUGAAUCACCAUACGCUUGACGAAGUAACAUCAAAAGUUAUAUGCUUCUACACCAGAUCGUCUUAUAUAUUUGUGCCACUCAUAGCAGAUCAUGUCGCAGAACAAUCUCAAUUACAUCGUCGACCCCAUUAAUGAUGACAUCGCAUCCUCACAAACUAUUUAUGUGAUGCAACCAAGUCCAAGCACAACAACAAUAUUUAUUUUUAAAGGAUACUUUUAACAUAACACCGCAACACUUUUCUCAUAUUUGUUUUAUAUUUUUUCGGCAGCAAUUCAAUCAGUAAUUAUCGACGCAUGUCAAAAGGCUGUUGAAAAGGUGGAGGAAAAAAAUAAGUUAAUAUUGUUGCGCCUAACCGAAAACGUUGAGGGGAUGCGCAAAGAAAUCAUUGAUCUUAAAAAAGCGGUAUCACAUAAUAACGCUACUAUUAUACCAAGCAAGCCGUAUGCUAAUAUUGAAGACUUCCUCAAUUUUGAGAAAACUAUUCUGGAAGAUAUAGAUACAUUUUCCUUGCUGAAGGCAGAUCUAAAAAGAUGGUCAACAUCCAAUUCGAGAAAAUUUGUUACGAAAGCGUGGCAGAAGAUUAUGACUGACAACGUUGCUGAGAGCUUUUCCUGGCGAGGAAUUGGAGAUAAGAAGUGCAUUAGGGCCUUCACUGUCGCCACUGCUAUUCAUCAAACUUUCGCUGAAAAUGGAGGCAAGGAAGAGGACUUUGUGUUUGCCUCUAAGUCAUAUUUCCAGAACGCAAAAAAUCGUAUUAAAAUUAAAACAACAAAAAAAGUAAACUAAAAUACUAAGUAGUAAUGAUUUUUUAAAUGAAAAGACAAUGAAGUUCCUAUUUUUAUAUUUUAAUGUAAUAUUAUUCUAUGAAG